UAGGGAAUCUUCGGCAAUGGACGAAAGUCUGACCGAGCAACGCCGCGUGAGUGAAGAAGGUUUUCGGAUCGUAAAACUCUGUUGUUAGAGAAGAACAAGGACGUUAGUAACUGAACGUCCCCUGACGGUAUCUAACCAGAAAGCCACGGCUAACUACGUGCCAGCAGCCGCGGUAAUACGUAGGUGGCAAGCGUUGUCCGGAUUUAUUGGGCGUAAAGCGAGCGCAGGCGGUUUCUUAAGUCUGAUGUGAAAGCCCCCGGCUCAACCGGGGAGGGUCAUUGGAAACUGGGAGACUUGAGUGCAGAAGAGGAGAGUGGAAUUCCAUGUGUAGCGGUGAAAUGCGUAGAUAUAUGGAGGAACACCAGUGGCGAAGGCGGCUCUCUGGUCUGCAACUGACGCUGAGGCUCGAAAGCGUGGGGAGCAAACAGG
rnacentral:rRNA from 2 species